AAUUUGUUUUCCAUGAAAUUUUUGUAACAGAAACAGAUUAUCAUGACAAUUUGAUGUAAUCAAUAAAAAUAUUUAUGUGCUGAUUUCAUGAAAACAAGUUUUAUAUCUGGAUGAAGAUGAAGAUUAGGAGAAAAUAGCUCCUGCUCAGAAUUUCAGAGCACCAAGGGCCAGACAAUGAUGUCCAGAUAGUGGUUUUUGAAAUUUCAGUGUUUUAGAGGGUUUCUCAAAUGGCUCUUUUUGAUUCUGCAAGCAGAUUGCUUCAAAGGGACAGCUGUUUCCCUGGAGUCCACUUAAGUAUCUGCAGGCAUGAUCUUGAUGGGUCAUAUAUUAGAUAUCUACUGAUUAUUCAUUUAGCUUCCCCAGGACACUAUAGUUAAGAGGUUACACUGGCUUUCCAUUCAAAGGCAGAGCUAAAGCAGAACACAGAGCAGAACUACCUUUGAAUUUACAGUCACUGUUAGCUUUUUUUCACAUAAAAUAUCAUGUGCUGUAGAUUUUGAAGACACGGUAGCUGAAUCCACAUGCCUACAGUUUUUAAACAACAUAAAAAUGUAAAAUUAUAGAAUAGCACAUUGCUCUCAGUGAGGUGAGAUCAUGCCACUGCACUCCAGCCUGGGUGACAGAGCGAGAUGCUGCCUAAAAAAAGAAGGACACUAUCCUAACUUCUAAGAUUUUUUAAUAUUGGGAAGAUAAAAAUAUGUUACCAGAUUACCUUAUAUAAAUUAUCUCCCCUUUUCUUUCAAGCACUGGCACAUGUACUCUUGAAACAUGGACUUUAGGAAGGGCACAGAAGCCAAUUACUGUGAUGCUGUGUAAUAAGCUCAAUAAUGGUAAAAAUUUCAAAUGUUGGUAUCUCUAGGGGAGCACAGAAGAGAAAGCAAAUAACUUCUCCCGGGAAAAUUUACAAGUAACAUUAUCCUGGCAGCAGCAGGUAAUAUUCCUGUGUCCUUUUCUGUAUGGGACUUUGUACCCUGUAAAAUAUAGAAGUUAGAGAGUGAGGAAUCCAAAAAGCCCCAAUCAUUUGAAGGUUGAUACUAAUUUCAGAAAUGUUUGAAGAGUUUAAGGCUAAAGAACUUUUAGUAUUCUUGCUUUUGGUUAUACUGGACAUGAAGAUUUAAUAUAAUGGGAUGUAAAUUCAAGUUAUGAAUGUACUCAUUUUUUAAAUUCAGAGGUCCUGAAGAGAAUCUGCACCUAAUGAAUUAAGUUCAACUGAUUUAUGUUAAAGAAAACUUGUGGAGUUGAGAGCCUCAGGCC
rnacentral:lncRNA from 10 species